CCCUUAGAUGUCCGGGGCCGCACGCGCGCUACACUGAAGGAAUCAGCGUGGCUUUCUCCCUGACCCGAAAGGGUUGGGAAACCCGUUGAGUCUCCUUCGUGAUAGGGAUUGGGGCUUGAAAUUGUUCCCCAUGAACGAGGAAUUCCCAGUAAGCGCGAGUCAUAAGCUCGCGUUGAUUACGUCCCUGCCCUUUGUACACACCGCCCGUCGCUACUACCGAUUGAACGGUUUAGUGAGGGCCUCGGAUUGGUCUCGGCCCGCUCUUUACCGGGCGGCGCCGUUGGUCGAGAAGACGCUCGAACUUGAUCGUUUAGAGGAAGUAAAAGUCGUAACA
rnacentral:rRNA from 1 species